GAUGAUGAUGCUUGCUUGGCAUGCUAUAGCCCCUCCUUGGUAGCAUGCUAUUGACAAGUAUCCGUCCCGAUUGCUAGGUGUACGUUGGAUUGGUGUGGUGCGGCCCGUUGCGAUUNCGUGUCGGUUUGCUGAAAUUGUCGGAGCAUUCUCCCGUCGAUGUGCAGUAACCUGCGUAGUGACAAGGUAUCCUAUGGAUCGAUGUGGCACGGGUAGGGGAAAAUCUCGAUUGGAGUUGCGAGGCGUUGACGCGGCCUGGACGGAGUUUUAUUCCGUGUUGGUUUGCUGAAAUUGUCGGAGCAUUCUCCCGUCGAUGUGCAGUAACCUGCCUUGUGACAAGGUAUCCUAUGGAUCGAUGUGGCACACGUAGGGGAAAAUCUCGAUUGGAGUUGCGAGGCGUUGACGCAGCCUGGACGGAGUUUACCUUCGUGUCGUGCGAUGCCGGUGUUUACGUGUUUUUUGUCCCGAUGAGACCCGAUUGCUAGGUGUACGUUGGAUUGGUGUGGUGCGGCCCGUUGCGAUUCCGUGUCGGUUUGCUGAAAUUGUCGGAGCAUUCUCCCGUCGAUGUGCAGUAACCUGCGUAGUGACAAGGUAUCCUAUGGAUCGAUGUGGCACGGGUAGGGGAAAAUCUCGAUUGGAGUUGCGAGGCGUUGACGCGGCCUGGACGGAGUUUUAUUCCGUGUUGGUUUGCUGAAAUUGUCGGAGCAUUCUCCCGUCGAUGUGCAGUAACCUGCCUUGUGACAAAGUAUCCUAUGGAUCGAUGUGGCACACGUAGGGGAAAAUCUCGAUUGGAGUUGCGAGGCGUUGACGCAGCCUGGACGGAGUUUACCUUCGUGUCGUGCGACAUCAUGGUUUUUGUGUUUCUCGUACCGUUCGGAGCAUUUCGGGAGCUUCUUCGUGCUNGUAGUUGUUUGCCUGGNNUUCGUACCGGGUUUGUGGCUACCUUGUGUGGGUCGUUUCAUGGAAUGAAUAUCGUAAAGGUGCAUGAGUGGAGCUUGGUGUGUUGCUGGUGGUUGGAUGACUGCAUUCGCAGCAACGUCCACUGGGGCAUACCUCUUCAUUUACGGCGAACGGUUUUUUCGCAACCGGGAGCAUUUGUUGGGUUUUCCUGUGCUGUGUACCUACUUUAGGGCAUGCUAUCGGUUGGUUAAUGUGGAUUUUCAUUCAACGUCACUCGCGUGGCGUGGUUUGAACUAGAACUGGCCCCUCUAUGAUCCGUGUCUUUGACGCAUUAUGUUUUUGGCAUGGCCCAUUUUGAUUACUGCCGGGAUCACCACAGAACCAGGAAGAGAUUGCGAGUUCCAUGACCCAUCUCCUCCAACAUCAGGCCACGAAGAAGACAAAUCCUAACACGAGAAGCCAACUCGAUCAGAUACAUUCCUCAU
rnacentral:misc_RNA from 1 species